rnacentral:rRNA from 1 species
UACGGAGGGGGCUAGCGUUGUUCGGAAUUACUGGGCGUAAAGCGCACGUAGGCGGCUUUGUAAGUUAGAGGUGAAAGCCCGGAGCUCAACUCCGGAAUUGCCUUUAAGACUGCAUCGCUUGAAUCAUGGAGAGGUGAGUGGAAUUCCGAGUGUAGAGGUGAAAUUCGUAGAUAUUCGGAAGAACACCAGUGGCGAAGGCGACUCACUGGACAUGUAUUGACGCUGAGGUGCGAAAGCGUGGGGGAGCAAACAGG